GAUGAAGAACGCAGCGAAAUGCGAUAAGUAAUGUGAAUUGCAGAAUUCAGUGAAUCAUCGAAUCUUUGAACGCACAUUGCGCCCGCCAGUAUUCUGGCGGGCAUGCCUGUUCGAGCGUCAUUUCAACCAUCAAGCCCCAGGCUUGUGUUGGGGACCUGCGGCUGCCGCAUGCCCUGAAAACCAGUGGCGGGCUCGCUGUCACACCGGGCGUAGUAGAUUUUAUCUCGCUCAGGGCGUGCUGCGGGUUCCGGCCGUUAAAAAGCCUUUUUUACCCAAGGUUGACCUCGGAUCAGGUAGGAAUACCCGCUGAACUUAAGCAUAUCAAUAAGCGGAGGA
rnacentral:misc_RNA from 1 species